ACGGGAGGCAGCAGUGGGGAAUAUUGGGCAAUGGGCGCAAGCCUGACCCAGCAACGCCGCGUGAAGGAAGAAGGCUUUCGGGUUGUAAACUUCUUUUGUCAGGGAAGAGCAGAAGACUGUACCUGAUGAAUAAGCCACGGCUAACUACGUGCCAGCAGCCGCGGUAAUACGUAGGUGGCAAGCGUUGUCCGGAUUUACUGGGUGUAAAGGGAGCGCAGGCGGGACAGCAAGUUGGAUGUGAAAUACCGAGGCUUAACCACGGAGCUGCAUCCAAAACUGUUGUUCUUGAGUGAAGUAGAGGUAGGCGGAAUUCCGAGUGUAGCGGUGAAAUGCGUAGAUAUUCGGAGGAACACCAGUGGCGAAGGCGGCCUACUGGGCUUUAACUGACGCUGAGGCUCGAAAGUGUGGGGAGCAAACAGGAUUAGAUACCCUGGUA
rnacentral:rRNA from 1 species